UACGUAGGGUGCGAGCGUUGUCCGGAAUUAUUGGGCGUAAAGAGCUCGUAGGCGGCCUGUUGCGUCUGCUGUGAAAGCCCGGGGCUUAACCCCGGGUCUGCAGUGGAUACGGGCAGGCUAGAGUUCGGCAGGGGAGACUGGAAUUCCUGGUGUAGCGGUGAAAUGCGCAGAUAUCAGGAGGAACACCGGUGGCGAAGGCGGGUCUCUGGGCCGAUACUGACGCUGAGGAGCGAAAGCGUGGGGAGCGAACAGGAUUAGAUACCCUGGUAGUCCACGCCGUAAACGUUGGGCGCUAGGUGUGGGGUCCCUUCCACGGGUUCCGUGCCGUAGCUAACGCAUUAAGCGCCCCGCCUGGGGAGUACGGCCGCAAGGCUAAA
rnacentral:rRNA from 1 species